UGCAGCACCAACUCGCUCACAGGAAUGUUGCCUUUACAGGUUUCUCUUUUAAUUAUCCUGGAAGCAGGGGUGGGGGGAAAGUAAAGAAGAAGAAGCAGGGUGGUUAAAUUAGCGUGCUGGAAUCUUUUCAGUUUGUCGCAGAGUAGAAAAAUAAAAAAGGGGAAAAAAGGCUCAGUAAUUUAAAUUUGCUCUCAGUUCAGUCUGCAUCAUUGGGUCCCGCCCCUUCUUCCUGCUGGGUUCCACUACCUGCAAGCCUGGAAUUGACAGCUACUGUGCAAACAAAAAAAGGCAACAAGCAUGCUGGGACCAUUCUGUCUGCAGCUUGGGUCUCGCUUGUCCUGAAAACUAAAAAUCAUCAGUGGAAAGUUAUGGGCCCCCUUCAUGACCUGUUGGCCUUCUUCCUCACAUGUCUUCUCACAAGCAAUUCCUGGCCAAGAAAGGGAAGCAGGAUUUUGCAUUUCUUCUCAUGGAUUUUUAUGAAAAACGGGUGAUAAAAUCAAGUACAAUUCAGAAAUAGACAUUGGAGAAGAGCCAAGUGUAUUAUACAGCCCUUUUACAUCCUUGUUAUUGCCUAGCUCUUUUUGUGAUGCCAUGUGAGAAUUAAGAUGUGGGGAAGUGGAACAAGAAAUACUGAUGCUCUGACUCUGCAAUGACUCCAAAGCCCAUCAUCAACUUCACGGAGAAGCGCAAAGCUGAAGGAACAAGACCGCAUGUGUUUCUUUUUAUCAUAUAGUGACAAGGUUUGUUUUUGGCUUUUCAGCUGAUCCUCACCAGCCUUCAAAUUCUAAUAGAAGGAAAUUCUUUUAAAGGGAAGAGCAAAAGGAAUAUGCGUAUUUUACAAGGCUUCCAGCACUUUGGAUUUAAACAAUAUGGCAUCAAUAUGAAAUAAGUGAUUGCAUUUAUUUCUGACAAUUCUAACUAAACUACCUGUCACUUAAAGUUCAGAAUUAUGUCUUACUAUUUUUUGUACUCUCCCUUAAAAACAUCUAUUACAGUCAUUGGUAUA